UGGAAGCUUGUUGCGUGAAGAUAUACGAAUUGACAUUUCUGAUACGUAUUCUGUCAAUUGCGUAUUACACAUUUGUACUGCUAUCCUGCUGCCUUUAUAUACUACUACGAGGCAUCAGGUUUCUUCUAGCCUUCACUUGUUCCAUCGAAAUCGAUGAUCCCGAAUUGAUGAUUCCGGCUUGAUCACGACUUCCUUCAGCAUACAACAAUAUCGAUGAUAACGUUCUUCGCAUUUAAUAGUACAUGGGAUUUACCGUACUGCCAAUACCAAUGCCUAUACCGAGAAUCACUCGAGCAAUGUAUAGUACUUUCACGUAAGGUGCUUCGUAGAUGGUGAACCAGCCUAUGGUUAACAUUGUGUUGCAUAAUACGAGGCAGAUAUUAGAACAGCUGCUGGCGGCCAACUGUGCAGCCACAAGUGAACCGAUCAUUGAACCAAGUACUGUCAAAGAAACCAUCCAUGAAGAUUCGUCGUGUGUUAUCGUCAGCGGAGCGCCGCCGGUCCCGGUUAUUAGAUAAUAAAGAGAAAUCGUUGUCCAUCCGUUGACUGAACCGCCUAUGAUCAUGGUUAGCAUUACUGGAAUGAGAGACAGAUUUCUCAUUAAUAUAUAAAAGUCUGUACUCGAUUUAUGAUAUAAUAAAGAAUCAGUGCGAUGAAUAUCAGAAUCGAAAUGUCAAAUUUAUUAUAAUGUACGAUGGAAUAGAAAUGCAACUUUAAACGAUGAUAAAUACAUGACGCAAUAUCAAGAGUGAAAACUAACCGAUAAUAGAUAUUAGGAAUCGCCGGUAUUGUGAGUUGUAGACCAUAAGAGCAUCCUCUUCCGGUGAUGGACGGAAAGGAUUGAAAUCAUCGCUCUGAGACGAUCUUCUGGAAACCUGGAAAACAGAUACCUUUGUUAAGAAUAGAAAUCGUAAUUCCAUUCUAAUUAGAGAGUCUAAGCAAACUUUUAAGCGAAUAUAACAUCCAAAUCGCGGAAAACAUAUUAAUACGUGUUUAAAUAUUAAUAUUUUUCCAAAGGAAUUAAAAAAUUGUCUUUCUCCUAUCUUAAUAGAAAUACAAUUUAUGAUAUUUCUAUCAACAGCAUUAAAAUAUGCUUGAUGUUAUUUGAUAUUAUUAUAGAUAGAAGACGUACCUGAGUUUUUUUACUGACGUUUGCUAAAGGUUAUUUGUACUUUUGAAAACUUUCUUCUAAAAUCAUUUACUUUGAGUGUCCUCCAAAUCAAUGAUAAUUUGAGAGGUUUUUAUAUAUUUCUUAAAUAUUUGUUGUAAUUAAUGAAAUAUAUUAACAUGUCGUAUAGAUAAUACCGAAGAACUGUUUGAACCUUCGAGUAUGAUUCGAUAUUUAUAAGAGGUAACAGUUUUAAGCUUUGAACAUUAUGUUUUGGUGGAUCGUGACAGUUUAAAUCAGGGUGAAAGAUUCAAAAUUUUAAAUGAUCACGUUCGAUCAAGAUUCAGUGUUGAAGAUUUAAGAUUAUUGUGACUUUUAAAUAUCGAAUCAUAUUCGUAGGUUCAGACGAUUCUUUGGUAUUAUCGACACGAUAUGUUAAUACGUUUCAUUAUGUGCCAAAACCUUAAAUCGAGACGUAGGAAUCAAAAAUUUAAUUGCUAUGGAUUCGUCUCUGUUAUUUGGAAAUAAAAGAAUAAUAGUUAAAUUCGCUGAAAAUAGGUAUAUCAAACAGACGCUUUUUUUAUAUUCUCGUUGAAUUAGAAUUUAGGAUUUGUUACUCUGCGAUAUUUAAUUUCUAGCCGUUAAUUUCAAAAAUAUUUAUCAUAUUAUCAUAUUAAAUGCUUACCGUCCUACGCUGGGUCAUGCUGCCAGAAAUGAGUACUUUCACGCAAUUAUAUAAUCACGAUUGAUUUUCAAUAAAUCAAGUUGUAGAAUCCAGUUCACACAUAAUUAUUUAAAAACUGUACGAAGGAUCAUUGGUAAUUAUCUAUCGCAAAGUAAGAACAACUGUAAGAAAUCUUUACACUGAUUCUCGCGAUUAACGGAUUUCGUAUUGAUUUGUACCAUUUACACGAAUGCCACAACCAUACUGGGUACUUCUGAGGAUACUUCCCCUUUACAUACAGUCGACAUUAUUUCAACACAUAAACACUUCUAAUUCUCCUUGUUAUAUCUUUAAAUGUAACGAAUUAAUUUUAAAUAUUUCGACAUAGGAACAAUAAUAUUUUUGUACUUAUUAUAUCUAGGAAACGUCCUAAUUAUAAUGUUAGAACAGUCGAAUGCCAACUAUUAUAUGAUACAUAUUUCCUAUAAUAUAAAAAUUAAAAUGAGCAAAAAUAAUUGCACAUCUUCGUCUAUUAGUUAUUUUUGUUCUAUGUUACAACAUGGGCUACGUUGCGAUCACAAUGCAGCAUUUGAAUUUAUAACAUUAUAAUACUAUAAUAUUAUAGCAUUUGGGUUUAUAAGGAAACCUUUACAUUUUUUAUAGCUAGGUUUAAGGGAAUCUUUAUAUUCUUGAUCGGUAAGAAUUACGAAGCCACUCUGUGCCUUUAUUAUGUUCGGAUUUGUACGUAUUAUGCAGGGCUUGCGAAAACACCUUUAGGUUUCUAAUUAUAGUAUUGAAAUUAAAUUAGAUGUUCUAUCAGGUAGAGUUUUUCAAAUUUGAUGGGACAGGAUCUAGAAGGAACGUUUGUGAGUCUGGUGAGUGGUUAUGUAGAGUAGCUUUACUGCUAAAAAGCAAUGCUUCCUAGAAGCAUUAAUCCGUCCCUAAUAAGUACUUUAAUAUUUAAUUAAUUUAUACAUGCAUUUAAUUAUACAUGCAUAAUUAACAGUACUGUUUAAGUAGAUAAGGUAGUUUAAGUAGAUAAAUAGUAUAAUUGUUUAUGAAACGCAUCAUUCUCUUUUUUAAAACAAUUUUACCACAGACGAGGAACAGGAAUAGACGUGAUAUUCAGUGCUUGUUCACAUUUUGCGGGUCGCAUGAUCUCUCCAUACCAGUUUCGUGUCGCAUGCGAAGUUACUAUUUCAGUUUAAUACUGGUUUGAAUUAAAACUAUAAUCUUAUACGAAAUUAUAAAUAAAAUAUAAAACUGGACAUCCAAUAUUAACAACGAAAUAUAAUUCUAUCUUGUUACAAUAUUUCAGUAAACAUCACACACUAUCAAAAUAAUAAAUUACUGUAUAGUAAAGUACUGUAAUAAGAAUUAAGUGAAUCGUUUAAUCAGUUUUAAAUAAAAUUGCUAUUUCAUAUAUCUGA